rnacentral:SRP_RNA from 1 species
GCCAGGCAUGGUGGUGCAUGCCUGUAGUCCCAGCUACUCAGGAGGCUGGGGUAGGAGAAUUGCUUGAGCCCAGGAGUUCAAGGUUGCAGUGAGUUAUGAUUGAACCACUGCACUCCAGUCUGGGUGACAGAGCUAGACCCUGUCUCAA